rnacentral:rRNA from 1 species
CGAGUCCGAGGAGCUACGGCUCUUAAGUGAUACGAGUCAGACUUCCCAGAAAAGCCCGAACCACGUUAAUUUCUAAUUACCUGUACCCGAAACCGACACAGGUAGGAGAGUAGAGAAUACUAAGGGGCGCGAGAUAACUCUCUCUAAGGAACUCGGCAAAAUGACCCCGUAACUUUGGGAGAAGGGGUGCCACCGCAAGGUGGUCGCAGUGAAGAGGCCCAGGCGACUGUUUACCAAAAACACAGGUCUCCGCUAAGUCGCAAGACGCAGUAUGGGGGCUGACGCCUGCCCAGUGCCGGAAGGUUAAGGAAGUUGGUUAGUGCUUGCACGAAGCUAGCGACCGAAGCCCCGGUGAACGGCGGCCGUAACUAUAACAGUCCUAAGGUAGCGAAAUUCCUUGUCGGGUAAGUUCCGACCCGCACGAAAGGCGUAACGAUCUGGGCACUGUCUCGGAGAGAGGCUCGGCGAAAUAGGAUUGUCUGUGAAGAUACGGACUACCUGCACCCGGACAGAAAGACCCUAUGAAGCUUUACUGUAGCUUGGAAUUGGGUUCGGGCUUCCCUUGCGCAGCAUAGGUGGAGGCGUUGAAGUUUUCCUCGUGGGGAAAAUGGAGCCAACGGUGAGAUACCACUCUAGGGAGGCUAGAAUUCUAACUUAGACCCGUGAUCCGGGUUAAGGACAGUUUCAGGUGGGCAGUUUGACUGGGGCGGUCGCCUCCUAAAGGGUAACGGAGGCGCGCAAAGGUUCCCUCAGGCUGGUUGGAAAUCAGCCGAAGAGUGCAAAGGCAGAAGGGAGCUUGACUGCGAGACUUACAAGUCAAGCAGGGACGAAAGUCGGCCUUAGUGAUCCGACGGCACCGAGUGGAAGGGCCGUCGCUCAACGGAUGAAAGUUACUCUAAGGAUAACAGGCUGAUCUCCCCCAAGAGUUCACAUCGACGGGGAGGUUUGGCACCUCGAUGUCGGCUCAUCGCAACCUGGGGCUGUAGUAGGUCCCAAGGGUUGGGCUGUUCGCCCAUUAAAGCGGUACGUGAGCUGGGUUCAGAACGUCGUGAGACGGUUCGGUCCAUAUCCGGUGUAGGCGUAAGAGCAUUGAGAGGAGCCUUCCUUAGUACGAGAGGACCGGGAAGGACGCACCGCUGGUGUACCUGUUAUCGUGCCAACGGUAAACGCAGGGUAGCCAAGUGCGGAGCGGAUAACCGCUGAAAGCAUCUAAGUGGGAAGCCCACCUCAAGAUGAGUGCUCUCACAGGGUUAACCUGGUAAGGUCACGGGAAGACCACCCGUUAAUAGGCACUCGGUGGAAGUUCAGCAAUGAAUGAAGCCAAGGUGUACUAACAGACCGAGGGCUUGACU